AACGAACGCUGGCGGCGUGCCUAACACAUGCAAGUCGAGCGAGAAAGUUUCCUUCGGGAAGCGAGUACAGCGGCGAACGGGUGAGUACAACGUAGGUAACCUACCCCCGAGACUGGGAUAACCUGUCGAAAGACGGGCUAAGACCGGAUAAGACCACGAAGGCUGCGGCCUUUGGGGUAAAAAGUGGCCUCUGCUUGCAAGCUACUACUCGAGGAGGGGCCUGCGCGCCAUUAGCUAGUUGGUGGGGUAAAGGCUCACCAAGGCGAAGAUGGCUAACUGGUCUGAGAGGAUGGCCAGUCACACUGGGACUGAGACACGGCCCAGACUCCUACGGGAGGCAGCAGUGGGGAAUAUUGCGCAAUGGGCGAAAGCCUGACGCAGCGACGCCGCGUGGGUGAUGAAGGCCU
rnacentral:rRNA from 1 species